GUUGAACGCUGGCGGAAUGCUUUACACAUGCAAGUCGAACGGCAGCACGGACUUCGGUCUGGUGGCGAGUGGCGAACGGGUGAGUAAUAUAUCGGAACGUGCCCAGUCGUGGGGGAUAACGUAGCGAAAGCUACGCUAAUACCGCAUACGAUCUACGGAUGAAAGCGGGGGAUCGCAAGACCUCGCGCGAUUGGAGCGGCCGAUAUCAGACUAGGUAGUUGGUGAGGUAAAGGCUCACCAAGCCGACGAUCUGUAGCUGGUCUGAGAGGACGACCAGCCACACUGGGACUGAGACACGGCCCAGACUCCUACGGGAGGCAGCAGUGGGGAAUUUUGGACAAUGGACGCAAGUCUGAUCCAGCCAUUCCGCGUGCAGGACGAAGGCCUUCGGGUUGUAAACUGCUUUUGUACAGAACGAAAAGGUCUCUAUUAAUACUAGGGGCUCAUGACGGUACUGUAAGAAUAAGCACCGGCUAACUACGUGCCAGCCGCCGCAGUAA
rnacentral:rRNA from 1 species